CACAAAGCUCGGCGAGAGGUUCCAACAGGAACCCGUCGUUCAAGGAGACAACCCAAAGCAACCAAGCAUGCCGAAGGAGCCCCCAAGGGAUCCCGGAAUCCGGGCAAGUCGCCGGAAAAGGGGCCGUUAGGAGGUCGCCGUGGCCGGGGCGGGGUGGGGGGGUGGCGGCCUGGGCUUCUCCAGGACCCGGACAGCGACUUCCAAGCCCACUCCCCACACAGGCCCCGGGCCGGCCCCAGGUGCCACGAAUCCCCGAGCGGCCACGCGACCAAGCCUCAGCCGCGGGCAGCUAGCCCGCACCUCCACGUCGAUGUCCAGGAAGCCGCCCUCCGCCACCUCGAAGAUGAGGCCCAUCUUGGUGCCCGAGGUGACCCGCUCAAAGAAGCACUCCUCAGCAUGCGCGUCGAUGCUAACGAAAUAGCCCGAGACCGUGGCCAGGAGAGCGGCCAGGAGCACCAGCAGUUCAGCAAGAGUCACCAUGGUGGGGCUGAGGCCGAAGCCAGGACCCGGACCGCGGCCUCCAGAGCCGCCGCCGCUGCCGCCGCCGCCCCGCUGCCUUCUCAGCCACCGCCGCCUAAGCUCCGCCCCUUCCGCCUGCGCCACCAGUGGGGGCUGAUGCGGGCGCAGUGGAUUGGCAGGCUCCCGCAGCUGCCACGUAAAGGUGGCACGGCAACCGCCGAGGGACAAGCGACUCUGCGCGCUCCGAUCCUGGACGGCGGCUCCGAAGGACCAAAAAUCUUUCCCUAGUCCUUUCUCGUCCAAGCUAAAGUUCGUGUGGACUUCCCAGGAAAACGACAGUGUCCGGAAGCCUAUGCAAUGCCCUCUUAGGAUUGUCCAAGAAGAUGGCGAAAGAUUUGCAGGCAGCGAUAGGAGUUGAGGGAAUGUGCGGGCUGAAACUAAGUAGAGACGGGGUUUCGCCAUGUUGGCCAGGCUGGUCUGGAACUCCUGAGCUCAAGUGAUCCGCCCUCCUCGGCCUCCCAAAGUGCUGAGAUUACAGAAGCUGGAGCGCAAUGGCGCAAUCUCACCUCACUGCAACCUCCGCCUCCGGGUUUCAAGCUAUUCUUCUCCCUUAGCCUCCCAAGUAGCUGGGAUUACGGGCGCCUGCCACCACACCCAGGUAAUUUUUGUAUUUUUAGUAGAGACGGGUUUUCACCAUGUUGGUCAGGCUGGUCUCGAACUCCUGACCUUCAGAUGAUCCACCCGCCUCUGCCUUCCAAAGUACUGGGAUUACAGGCGUGAGCCUCCACACCCAGCAACUAUUGCAUUUUAUUUUACUGUAUGUAUGUAAUACCUUAACCACACACAAAAAAUUACCUUGUUCAAAUUUUCCAGAGUUAGAAUUCUACCAGUUCCCCAAAGUCUUGCUGUUUCUCCAUGCCCCUUAGCCCUUAACAGCUGCUGGAGCUGUCUUUUCAUCCUUUGCACCCUGGCAUACUCCUACUCAUCCCUCAGAACCCAAAUGUCACCUCUUAUCUCUAAAAUGUUCCUUGACAUCCUUCUGCCAAAUACUAGCCCUUUCCUCUGUUUACAAUGCAGAUUCGGUCCUAGUGAAUUACAGUUAUUUUCUACUCUGCCUCACUCGUGAAGGCACAAGACUUGAUUUACGUACGGUGUCCUCUUCAGGCCCUGCCACAGGGCCACAGAAGGACCUCACGCAUUUCAUGUCAAUUGAGGUCACUGGACUGACCUGGGAAUGAGGAGCCUGGGUUGUUACUCCACUUUUGCACAUAGCUGUGUGACCUUGAUUAUUUUCCAUGACGUCCUGGCCUCAGUUUCCUUAUCUGUAAAAAGGGAAUGACACCACAGGCCUUGCAAAAUUGAAGGGAUUAUUUCUUUGAAGACCAACAGGCGAUAGGGGGCAGUAGUGUCCCAGGAUCCAGUUUCCCGCUUCAGGUUUCAAGAAACAGAAGCAGCUGCAGUGAUGAAGGCUUCCUGACUAUGACAGUGUACAGUUGACCUUGAACAGCAUGGGGGUUUGGGGCACCGACCCCUGCACAGUCCAAAAUCCUGGGGUCUUUUUUUUUUUUUUUUUGACAUGGAGUCUCCCUCUGUCGCUGAGGCUGGAGUGCAGUGGCGCGACCUCAGCUCACUGCAACCUCUGCUUCCCGGGUUCAAGCAAUUCUUCUGCCUCAGCUGCCCAAGUAGCUGGAAUUACGGGCGCCCGCCACCAUGCCUGGCUAAUUUUUGUAUUUUUAGUAGAGACGGGGUUUCACCAGGUUGGCCAAGCUGGUCUCGAACUCCUGACCUCAGGUGAUACACCCGCCUUGGCCUCCCAAAAUGCUGGGAUUACAGGCAUGAGCCACUGUGCCUGGCCUCAUUUUUGACUCCCCAGAAACUUAACUUUUUUAUUUUAUUUUUUUUUUGAGAUGGAGUUUUGCUCCUGUCGCCCAGGCUGGAAUGCAAUGGCACGAUCUCAGCUCACUGCAACCUCCACUUCCCAGUUCAAGCAGUUCUCCUGCCUCAGCUUCCUGAGUAGCUGGGAUUACAGGUGCCCACCACCACGCCCGGCUAAUUUUUAUAUUUUUGGUAGAGACGGGAUUUCGCCAUGUUGGCUAGGCUAGUCUCGACUCCUGACCUCAGGUGAUCUACCCGCUUUGGCCUCCCAAAGUGCUGGGAUUACAGGCGUGAGCCACUGCGCCCAGCCCAAAAACUUAACUAUUAACAGCAUGCUGUUGACCAGAAGCCUUACCAAUGACAGUUGAUUAGCAUUUUGUUUGUUUUUCAUUUUUGUUUUGAGAUGGAACCUCGCUCUGUUGCCCAGGCUGGAGUGCAGUGAUGUGAUCUUGGUUCACUGUAACCUCUGCCUCCCGGGUUCAAGUGAUUCUCCUGCCUCAACCUCCCAAGUAGCUGGGACCACAGGCGCCCGCCACCACGCCAGGCUAAUUUUUGUAUUUUUAGUACAGAUGGGGUUUCAACAUGUUGGCCAGGGUGGUCUCGAACUCCUGGCCUCAAGUGAUCCACCCACCCCGGCCUUCCAAAGGGCUGGGAUUACAGGCAUCAGCCACCGUGCCCGGCCAAUGACAGUUGAUUAGCGUAUUUUGUAUGUUAUAUAUAUUACAUGCUGUAUUCUUACAAUGAAGUAAACCAGAGAAAAGAAAUUGUUAUUAAGAAAAUAAUAAGGACGAGAAGAUAUAUUUACUCUUCAUGUAGUGGAAGUGACUCAUGGUAAAGCUCUUCAUCCUUACCAUCUUUAUGUUGAGUAGGCUGAAGAGGAGGGGAGGAGGAGGGGUUGGUCUUGCUGUCUCGAGGGUGGCAGAAGUGGAAGAAGUGGCGGAGGUGGAAAGAGAGGCAUGAGAGGCAGGCAUACUUGGUGUAACUUUUAUUUAUUUAUUUAUUUUUAUUGAGAUGGAGUCUCGCUCUGUCGCCCUGGCUGGAGUGCAGUGGCUUAACCUCGGCUCACUGCAACCUCUGCCUCCCAGGCUCAAGAGACUCUCACCUGCCUCAGCCUCCCAAGUGGCUGGGAUUACAGGCACCCGCCACCACGCCUGGUUAAUUUUUGAAUUUUUAGUAGAGACAGGGUUUCACCAUGUUGGCCAGACCGGUCUCGAACUCCUGGCCUCAACUGAUCCGCCUGCCUCAGCCUCCCAAAGUGCCAGGAUUACAGACGUGAGCCACGGGGCCCGGCCAGGUGAAAAAAAUCCAUAUAUAAGUGGACCCAUGCAUUUCAAACCUGCGUUGUUUAAGGGUUAACUGUAUUAUUGAACUCAAGAGUUCUACUGGUGAUUCCCUACUUCCCCGUCUUCCAGACUGGCAGACAUCCUGCUUUCCCUGGCAGGUCAGUUCUGUAAUGUGACUCCAGUGCCGUCACUGGAGGGAGACAGCCUAGAGCCUCUUCCUCCAUCCUUAACAACACAUUGAUACGCCUGUUUCCCGGAUGUCUCUUUCUACUGAUGAUAUCUUUUUUUUUUUUUUUUUUUUUUUUUUGAGACAGAUUCUUGCUCUGUCGCCCAGGCUGGAGUGCAGUGGCGCGAUCUCGGCUCACUGCAAGCUCCGCCUCCUGGGUUCAUACCAUUCUCCUGCCUCAGUCUCCCGAGUAGCUGGUACUACAGGCGCCCGCCACCACGCCCAGCUAAUUUUUUGUAUUUUUAGUAGAGACGGGUUUUCACCGUGUUAGCCAGGAUGGUCUUGUGGUCUUGAUCUCCUGACCUCGUGAUCCACCCGCCUUGGCCUCCCAAAGUGCUGGGAUUACAGGCGUGAGCCACCGCACCCAGGCUUUUUUUUUUUUUCCUUGAGAUGGAGUCUCGCUCUGUCUCCCAGGCUGGAGUGCAAUGGUGCGAUCUCAGCUCACUGCAACCUCCGCCUCCCGGGUUCAAGCAAUUCUCCUGCCUCAGCCUCCUGAGUAGCUGGGAUUACAGGUGCAUGCCACCAUGCCCAGCUAAUUUUGUUUUUGUAUUUUUUAGUAGAGACAGGGUUUCGCCAUGUUGGCCAGGCUGGUCUCAAACUCUUGACCUCAGGUGAUCUGCCCACCUCAGCCUCCCCAGAGUGCUGGGAUUACAGGUGUGAGCUACUGCACCUGGCCUCUGCUGAUAAUAUCUACAGAGGUUUCCUCUUAAACCAAUGGAUGCAGCCCCUUUUGUUUUCUAUUUUUGUUUGUUUCCUUUGAGACAGGAUCUGGCUCUGUCACCCAAGUUGGAGUGCAGUGGCAUGAACACGGCUCACUGCAGCCUCACAUUCCUGAGCUCAAGCAAUCCUCCCACCUCAGGCUCUGCAGUAGCUGAGACCACAGGCACAUGCACCCACGCCCAGCUAGUUUUUUUGUUUGUUUUUGUUUUUUGUUUUUUUUAAACUAUUUGUAGAGAUAGAGGUCUCCCUAUGUUACCCAGGCUGGUCUCCAAUUCCUGGGCUUAAGCAGUCCCAAAGUGCUGGGAUUACAGGCGUCAACCACCACUCCUGGCUGUUUUUUUUUUUUUUUGUUACAACCCUUUUUGACUUCCCAAGCAACCCAACUGCAGAAGAAUGCCAAUAACAAUUUUGAUUUGAUAUAGAAAUUCAAUGUUAAUUUUCGGCUUUGAACUGAUUAAAUAAUAGUUCUAAGUCCACUUAUCAAGGAAUUAAAAUGUGGGGCUGGGCGCAGUGCCUCAUGCUUGUACUCUCAGCACUUUGGGAGGCCAAAGGGGGCAGAUUGCUUGAGUCCAAGAGUUCAAGACCAGCCAGGGCAGCAUAGCAAGACCCCAUCUGUACAAAAAAUACAAAAAAAAUUUAGCCAGGCAUGGGUGGCACGUGCCUGUAGUCUCAGCUAUUUGGGAGGCUGAGGUGGGAGGAUCACCCAAGCCUGGGAGAUCAAGACUGUGGUGAGCUGAGCUAUGAUAGUGCCACUGCACUCCAGCCUGGGUGACAGAGUGAGACCCUGUCUCCAAUAAGUAAGUAAGUAAAUAAAUAAAUAAAUAAAUAGUGGACAUUUUUAGGAUCUCAGUGGAACACAGUGAAUUGUAUAUUGUAGGGUUUUAUUAUAUAAAUCAGGGGACUCAAAUUCAAAUGCCUUCAGGAAUCAGGCAGUUUAUUUGAAUCAGAGAUGGCACUAGCAUAGGCAGUAGGAGCAGGGAGGACUGUGGCAAACUGGAUCAUAGGAUGUCAUACCUAAAUACAUUCAAUUCCAAUGUCUGAAAACACACUGGUAGCCAAACCAAAGAUGCAGCCAGAAGUCACUGUGUUUAUGGUUUACGUUGUAAAUGUAAUUGACUAUGUUAUCUGAAAUCAGAAAAGAGACAAAGGUAACUCAAUCACAGUACUGUAAAAUGAUUACUAUCAACUGCUUGACGUAUUUCUUUUGACGGCUCUAAUUUUUUGUUGAUUGGUUUUUUGGUUACCAUUGUUGUAGCCAUAUUUACUCAUCAGGUGUUUUUCAACAUUACUGUUUCAGGAUCUAAAGUCAAAUUUACCCAGAGGAUCACAGGCUCUUAGGACUUGACAGGUCACCCACAGUAAAGGUGCCUUUUUUUUUUUUUUUUUUUUUUUUUUUAAAGACAGUCUUACUCUGACACUCAAGCUAGAGUGCAGUGGCGUGACCUUGGCUCACUACAACCUCUGCCUCCGGGUUCAAGUAAUUCUCCUACCUCAGCCUCCCAAGUAGCUGGGAUUACAGGUGCCCGCCACCGUGCCCAGCUAAUUUUUGUAUUUUUAGUAGAGAUGGGAUUUCACCAUGUUGGCCAGGCUAACUCCUGGCCUCAAGUGAUCCACCUGCCUUGGCCUCCCAAAGUGCUGGGAUUACAGGUGUGAGCCACCAUGCCCCGCCUUAAAUGUGUACUUUUUUUUUUUUUUUUUUUUUUUUUGAGAUGGAGUUUUGCUCUUGUCGCCCAGGCUGGAGUGCAAUGGCGCAAUCUCGGCUCACUGCAACCUCCGCCUCCUGGUUUAAAGCGAUUCUCCUGCCUCCGCCUCCCGAGUAGCUGGGACUACAGGCGCCUACCACCACGCCCAGCUAAUUUUUUGUAUUUUUAGUAGAGAAGGGGUUUCACUAUGUUGGCCAGGCUGGUCUCGAACUCCUGACCUCAGGUGAUCCACCCACCUCAGCCUCCCAAAGUGCUGGAAUUACAGGCAUGAGCCACUGCACCUGGCCAAAUGUGCAUUUUUAAGGUUAUCACCACAGAUUGAUUGGCAUGAGCUCAUGUGCCAUCAGGUGCAUGAAUACAUCCAACAGGACAAACAGCUGGCACAUGGUGGGUACUCCAUACAUAUCUGAUGGAUAAUGAAUGAACCUCUUAACUGCCAUCUGGCCCAGAACUGAUCAGGGGGUAAUCAGUGGUCAGUGAGGUGCAACAUGAACUGGGCCCUCUCUGCUUCCCUCCCUUUUCAUCCUGCCUUAUUGAGAUACAACUCAUAUACCAUAAAAUCCAUCCUUUUAAAGUGUUAUACGGCAGGUGCGGUGGCUCAUGCCUGUAAUCCUAGCAUUUUGGGAGGCUGAGGCAGGCGGAUUGCUUGGGGUCAGGAGUUCGAGACCAGCCUGGCCAACAUGGUGAAACCCCAUCUCUUCUAAAAACAAACAAACAAAAAAUUAGCCAGGCGUGGUGGUGUAUGCCUAUAGUCCUAGCUACUCAGGAGGCUGAGGCAGGAGAGUCACUUGAACCUGGGAGGUGGAGGUGGUAGUGAGCUGAGAUUGCACCACUGUACUCCAUCCUGGGCAACAAAGUGAGACUCCGUCUCAAAAUAAAUAAAUAAAUAAAGUGUUAUACUUCGGUGGUUUCUGGUAUAUUCUCAGAGUUGUUCAAACAUCACCACUAUCUAAUUUCAAACAUCUCAUUGCCCCAAAAAAGAAACCCUGUACCCAUUAGCAGUCAUUCCCCAAUCCCCACUCUGCCCAGCCCUGGCAACCACUAUCUACUUUCUGUUCUAUGGAUUUGGAGUGGAAUCAUACAAUAUGUGGCCUCUUGUGACUGGCUUCCUUCACUUGGCAUGAUGUUUAAAGGUUCAUCUACAUUGUAGUGUGUGUCAGGAUUUCAUUUCUUUUUGUGGCUGAAUCAUAUUCCAUGGUAUGCAUGCACCACAUUUUGUCUAUGGAUAUUUGAGUUGUUUCCACAUUUUGGCUAUUAUUAAUGCUGCUAUACACAUUUGGCAGAGUGCAGUAGCUCAUGCCUAUAAUCCUAGCGCUUUGGGAGGCUGAGGCAGACGGAUCAAUUGAGGCCAGGAGUUUGAGACCAGCUUGGCCAACAUGGCAAAACCCCGUCUCUACUAAAAAUAUAUAGCCAAGCAUGGUGGUGCAUGUCUGUAAUCCCAGCUGUUCAGGAGGCUAAGGCACAAGAAUCACUUGAAUCCGAGAGGCAGAGCUUGCAGUGAGCCAAGAUCACGCCACUGCACUGAUGGUGUUUCACCAUGUUGGCCAGGCUGGUUUCAAACUCCUGACCUCAAGUGAGCUGCCCACCUUGUUCUCUCAAAGUGCUGAGGUUACAGGCAUGAGCCCCUGCGCCCAGCCUGCAUAACUUUUUUUAAAAGGCAUUUUUGCCUUGUUCCCUUGAAUCACUUUCUCUGGGAAACUGGCUAUCAUUGUCGUGAGGACACUCAAGCAGCUCUGGGAGAGACCCCAUGUGGCUAGAAGCUAUGGAUUCUCACCAACAGCCAUGCAAGAUUCCCCAGCACCAGUCGAGCCUUCAGAUGACUAUAGCCCCAGCUGAUAUCUUGACGGCAAUAUCAUGAAAAACCAUAUGUCAGAACUGCUCAGCCAUGUUGCUCCCAAAUUCUGGACCUGCAGAAACCAUGAAAGACAAUAAAUGAUUAUUGUUGUUUUAGGUCACUAUGUUUUGAGCUAACUUCUUACACAGCAAUAGAUACUAAUGCAUAUUUUAACCAGUUUCCUACAUUAAAAGCUUUCUGUUGGAAAGAC
rnacentral:lncRNA from 1 species